AGGGGUAGCUACGGCGAGUGAAGCGGCAAAAGCUCAAAUUUGAAAUCCUUCGGGAGUUGUAAUUUGAAGGUGAAGGGACCGCGGUAGAUGAUGAUUAAAGUCCCUUGGAACAGGGCGCCUUAGAGGGUGAGAGCCCCGUACAGUCAUCCAUCUUCCUCUUAUGUUCUUUCUCCAACGAGUCGAGUUGUUUGGGAAUGCAGCUCAAAGUGGGUGGUAAAUUCCAUCUAAAGCUAAAUACCGGCGAGAGACCGAUAGCGAACAAGUACCGUGAGGGAAAGAUGAAAAGCACUUUGAAAAGAGAGUGAAACAGUACGUGAAAUUGUUGAAAGGGAAGGGCUUGCAAGCAGACACAACCCUCGUGGUUGGGCCAGCAUCGGUUGCUAGGGGUGGAUAAGGCGGCGGGAAUGUAGCUUCCUCGGAAGUAUUAUAUCCCGCUGAGAUACACCCACCGGCGACCGAGGCCUGCGAUUCUAAAUCAAGGAUGCUGGCGUAAUGGUUGCAAGCCGCCCGUCUUGAAACACGGACCAAAUGCA
rnacentral:rRNA from 1 species